UUGCUUUAGCAGCACAUAAAGUAAAAUUGAAACGAUAUACAGAAAAGAUUAGCAAGGCCCCUGUGCAGGGAUGUCAGGCAAAUUUGUGAAAUGUUUUGUGUGUGU